GACGAACGCUGGCGGCGUGCUUAACACAUGCGAGUCGAACGGAAAGGCCCUGCUCUUGUGGGGUGCUCGAUUGGCGAACGGGUGAGUAACACGCGAGUAACCUGCCCUUGACAUAGGGAUAACUUCAGGAAACUGGGGCGAAUAUCGGGUAGGAUCUCCUGCUGCACGGGGGGGGUUGGAAAGUUUCGGCGGUGGGGGAUGGUCUCGCGGCUUAUCAGCUUGAUGGUGAGGUAGUUGCUUUCCAAGGCUUUGACGGGUAGGCGGCCUGAGAGGGUGAACGGCCACCUUGGGCCUAAGAGACGGACCAGUCUCCUACGGGAGGCAGCGGUGGAGAAUAUUGCGCAAUGGGCGGGAGCCUGAUGCGGAAGCGCCGCGUGCGGAAUGACGGCCUUCGAGUUGUAAACAGCUUUCGCCUGUAACGAAGCGUGAUUGACGGUAAUGGAUAAGAAAGCACCGGCUAACUACGUG
rnacentral:rRNA from 1 species